rfam:Triticum urartu cultivar G1812 contig852104, whole genome shotgun sequence.
UAACCGGUCCCUUCGUCUAAAAAUAAUUGUCAUCAAAAUGAAUAAAAAAAGAUAUAUUUAGAUCUAAAAUACGUCUAAAUACAUCCUCUUUUACUCAUUUUAAUGAUAAGUAUUUCUGAAUAGAGGGAGUACAAC